ensembl:lncRNA
GCUUCCAGGGAGGGGGCAUCCGCAACCUUGUUUGGCAACAUAUUCCAGUGUCUCACCGCCCUCAAGGAAUAAUAGGCCUUCUUCCUACUGACAUGGAUUCUCAGAUGGAUCAGUAAUUCAUGUGGCAUUAUCAUCCUGUGAAGAGAAGCCUUGGAAGAGCAAAACAUUGAAACAGAUAAAAGACCUGGAAGAUCCUGUUAUCCUGUCUUUGGCAAGCAAUGGUAUUGCAUCCCAGGUGAUUUUAAGCUAACAGACUGUCCGCCAGAAGUUGAACAAUAUCAUCUGUCACUUCAAAGCGCUCUUGUGUACGACUUAUCUUACCCUGGCAGAAAGAGGUUCAUUGGGAACUAAAAUGGGCAAGACAUGCAAAGACAGUAGUGAAACAAGCCAAGGAAGGAAUUGUUCAGAAUGGACAACUAAUGCUCAUUUGCAGUGCUUUGGAUGCACUGCUUCUGGGUUUGGAGGAAAAGGUCCUUGAGUACUGACCAGCUUUCUUGGACCCUUCCUCCUGCCAGGGCUUUCUCCCAUGUCAUCCUGCCAAGCAGCUCCCUGUAGAGUUCAAAGUCAGCUCUCCUGAAGUCCAGAGUAGCAAGCUACGUGACACCAUCUUGGACUGACAAACCUUCACUUUGAACCUCAAGAAGUGGUAGACAAGACACCAGGAAGCUUCUACCAUUGAGUCAUCUUCAUCUUUAUUCCGAAAGACUUGUGUAUGUCAAAAAUUUGGAGGAUGAAACGAAACGAAAGGAUUAAGUCAAGACACAGUCUUAAUUUAAUACAAAGAUUUCACUAUAAAGUUCUCUUUAAAUACCAAAAACAAUGAACAUGAUUUUACUUCUUGUUUAUUUGAAGAAAGUGAUUGGUGUCUACUUUGUUUGUAUUUUGGGAAAAAUACUCAUUGAAUGUUUGUACUUAACUUCCUUCUCUCAGAUUCACUUAGCUGUUACAGAAAUAGCUUAUGUUUAUCUCCCUGAAGAUUCAUAGAGUUUGCUUAAAUCACCGAGGAUAGGCAAUUAAAGAGGCUAAUUGUAUUGCUGAAAACAAUAAUUAGGCUUUUUCUGUUUUCUUUGCUUACUGUUUCUUGUUUUGGUCCUUUUGUUGUUGCCAGAGGUGAACAGCAGAGCAGUCAAGCUGUGAAUUGCUGGAGUGUUUUAACAUCUACCUGAUAAGACAUAUUCUAUUUUAUCAGCUUGCUAUUUGAAUAGAUGCCAUAUGAUUUCCAUAUCUCAUCAUUGAAGUCUCAUAAUUUGUACAGGAUAAAAAUGAAACCAUGGCAAGGUUCUCAACGAUUUGACAAUAAACGUGAUUAACUUUGGUCUGUAUGUGAAACACUAAAGAAAAUGAUGCCAGUAGUAGGGCAGGGGAAGAUGAAGUGCUCUCUGAGUUAAUAGCUUCAGUAAGUAUUAUGUGUAUAUCAAUGUCUGCUGACCCAAGGUGUUAAAUGAAAACAUGUUUUCACCAAUUAAUAUAGACUAUUGUUCUACAAAUGAGUCUGUCCUGAAGUAUCACCCUGGAAAUACAUAUUUUUAACUUUGUGGGGAUAGUUCAUAUUCAUGUUUAAAGGACAUUAGUUCUCUAUGGAGUAUUAUCCUCCAGGAUAGCCCUAAAUUUUAGAAACAGAUAAAUGGAAAUUACAUUCAGCUGUACAUAUUAAUUUCAGUGUAUUGACUUUGAAGGAGCAUCUAACUUUAAGGCUUCAAUUUAAAAUGUCAUCCCAUCAGGAAUGUAACUAAAGCACACAAAAUUAGGAAAUCAGAAUAACUUUCCAAAAAAUUUUCUAGAGAACAUGAAGUGUGGCAUAAAGUGAGAUCAUACACUAUCAUAAUCUGUAUUUUGUUGCUUUUGUAUUCAAAAGUCUUCCUCUCAGGGUGAAAAUAAAAGUGUACAAU